GUUGUAGAAGAUAGCCAAGUUCUGUGAUGUGUAUUUUGUGGAUCUCCUGUCGAAAGAGGCGCUCCCCGACAGCCCGGUGAGUGUAGAGGGGAAGAAGAGGGGUGCUGGGAGGUGUAGGGAGGUGUAGAUGGCUGUGGGUGUGUGUAGAAGGGGUGUAGAGGGUUGUAGAAGAUAGCCAAGUUCUGUGAUGUGUAUUUUGUGGAUCUCCUGUCGAAAGAGGCGCUCCCCGACAGCCCGGUGAGUGUGGAGGGGAAGAAGAGGGGUGCUGGGAGGUGUAGGGAGGUGUAGAUGGCUGUGUGUGUGUGUAGAGGGUUGUAGAAGAUAGCCAAGUUCUGUGAUGUGUAUUUUGUGGAUCUCCUGUCGAAAGAGGCGCUCCCCGACAGCCUGGUGAGUGUAGAGGGGAAGAAGAGGGGUGUGGGGAGCUGUAGGGAGGUGUAGAUGGCUGUGGGUGUGUGUAGAAGGGGUGUAGAGGGUUGUAGAAGAUAGCCAAGUUCUGUGAUGUGUAUUUUGUGGAUCUCCUGUCGAAAGAGGCGCUCCCCGACAGCCUGGUGAGUGUAGAGGGGAAGAAGAGGGGU